rnacentral:snoRNA from 14 species
AGAACAAUUAUUAAGUAUUAAAUAAAUUAAACAAAAGAGUAAAAAAAAAUCAUGCUCAAUAGGAUUACGCUGAGGCCC